AAAAUGACAAAUGUUUUUUAAAAGGGAAAGAAAGAGAAUUGUACAGUUGAUUUUUUUUAAUUAGAAAACCCUAAAACACUGACUUGUAAAUGCACUACUUGAUGCCGGGAUGAUGUCAGUCACCUACACGGACAUCAGCUCAGAGUAGCUGAAUGAACGCAACUAAAUACUCGAUAAGGCACUAAUGAGGUAUUAAGGCUAUUGAAUCAAGUUAAUUUAGACUCACUCAAAUAGAAAUCCAUUAAAAUAUUAUAAAUAGGUUUCCAUUUACGAGGUAUACAUUGUUUAUUGACUGCUUAUUUGUUAUGUUUAAAAUAUGCUUUGCUGAAUUAAGUUGCAGAGUGUCUUUGUAGAUACACCAUCCCUCUCAAUCAGAGAAGUGCGAAGGAGACAUCCUGGCAUGUCCUAAAACCUGAAGACGCAAGCAAAACAACGCACCAGAGAGCAAGUUGAAGCAGACAUCUCAGCCCUUGCAAGAACAGUACAGACACACACACACACACAUCUACAUACACGUAUGCCAUCUAGCUAUUGGCUGAGAUAGAGAGGAGUAUGAUAAAUGAAAUAUCAUUUCUCUCAAUUAGAGAAAUGCAAAGGAGACAAGCCGACACAGUCUGAGACCCGAAAACACAUGCAAGCAAGCAAGCACAAGAGAGCAAGUUGAAGAAGGCAUCUUGGUCUUAUAUGGCUAUUUCAGUCCUUGUAAGAACAUCAUUAAUUAUUAAUAAUCUAUGAUUUUUCAUUCGAAAUUA